ACGAACGCUGGCGGCGUGCUUAACACAUGCCAGUCGAACGGAAAGGCCCUGCUUUUGUGGGGUGCUCGAGUGGCGAACGGGUGAGUAACACGUGAGUAACCUGCCCUUGACUUUGGGAUAACUUCAGGAAACUGGGGCUAAUACCGGAUAGGAGCUCCUGCUGCAUGGUGGGGGUUGGAAAGUUUCGGCGGUUGGGGAUGGACUCGCGGCUUAUCAGCUUGUUGGUGGGGUAGUGGCUUACCAAGGCUUUGACGGGUAGCCGGCCUGAGAGGGUUACCGGCCACAUUGGGACUGAGAUACGGCCCAGACUCCUACGGGAGGCAGCAGUGGGGAAUAUUGCACAAUGGGCGGAAGCCUGAUGCAGCAACGCCGCGUGCGGGAUGACGGCCUUCGGGUUGUAAACCGCUUUCGCCUGUGACGAAGCGUGAGUGACGGUAAUGGGUAAAGAAGCACCGGCUAACUACGUG
rnacentral:rRNA from 1 species